rnacentral:rRNA from 1 species
ACCUGAAACCGUGUACGUACAAGCAGUGGGAGCCUCUUAAUGGGGUGACUGCGUACCUUUUGUAUAAUGGGUCAGCGACUUAUAUUCUGUAGCAAGGUUAACCGAAUAGGGGAGCCGAAGGGAAACCGAGUCUUAACUGGGCGUUAAGUUGCAGGGUAUAGACCCGAAACCCGGUGAUCUAGCCAUGGGCAGGUUGAAGGUUGGGUAACACUAACUGGAGGACCGAACCGACUAAUGUUGAAAAAUUAGCGGAUGACUUGUGGCUGGGGGUGAAAGGCCAAUCAAACCGGGAGAUAGCUGGUUCUCCCCGAAAGCUAUUUAGGUAGCGCCUCGUGAAUUCAUCUCCGGGGGUAGAGCACUGUUUCGGCAAGGGGGUCAUCCCGACUUACCAACCCGAUGCAAACUGCGAAUACCGGAGAAUGUUAUCACGGGAGACACACGGCGGGUGCUAACGUCCGUCGUGAAGAGGGAAACAACCCAGACCGCCAGCUAAGGUCCCAAAGUCAUGGUUAAGUGGGAAACGAUGUGGGAAGGCCCAGACAGCCAGGAUGUUGGCUUAGAAGCAGCCAUCAUUUAAAGAAAGCGUAAUAGCUCACUGGUCGAGUCGGCCUGCGCGGAAGAUGUAACGGGGCUAAACCAUGCACCGAAGCUGCGGCAGCGACACUAUGUGUUGUUGGGUAGGGGAGCGUUCUGUAAGCCUGUGAAGGUGGCCUGUGAGGGUUGCUGGAGGUAUCAGAAGUGCGAAUGCUGACAUAAGUAACGAUAAAGCGGGUGAAAAGCCCGCUCGCCGGAAGACCAAGGGUUCCUGUCCAACGUUAAUCGGGGCAGGGUGAGUCGACCCCUAAGGCGAGGCCGAAAGGCGUAGUCGAUGGGAAACAGGUUAAUAUUCCUGUACUUGGUGUUACUGCGAAGGGGGGACGGAGAAGGCUAUGUUGGCCGGGCGACGGUUGUCCCGGUUUAAGCGUGUAGGCUGGUUUUCCAGGCAAAUCCGGAAAAUCAAGGCUGAGGCGUGAUGACGAGGCACUACGGUGCUGAAGCGACAAAUGCCCUGCUUCCAGGAAAAGCCUCUAAGCAUCAGGUAACAUCAAAUCGUACCCCAAACCGACACAGGUGGUCAGGUAGAGAAUACCAAGGCGCUUGAGAGAACUCGGGUGAAGGAACUAGGCAAAAUGGUGCCGUAACUUCGGGAGAAGGCACGCUGAUAUGUAGGUGAAGCGACUUGCUCGUGGAGCUGAAAUCAGUCGAAGAUACCAGCUGGCUGCAACUGUUUAUUAAAAACACAGCACUGUGCAAACACGAAAGUGGACGUAUACGGUGUGACGCCUGCCCGGUGCCGGAAGGUUAAUUGAUGGGGUUAGCGGUAACGCGAAGCUCUUGAUCGAAGCCCCGGUAAACGGCGGCCGUAACUAUAACGGUCCUAAGGUAGCGAAAUUCCUUGUCGGGUAAGUUCCGACCUGCACGAAUGGCGUAAUGAUGGCCAGGCUGUCUCCACCCGAGACUCAGUGAAAUUGAACUCGCUGUGAAGAUGCAGUGUACCCGCGGCAAGACGGAAAGACCCCGUGAACCUUUACUAUAGCUUGACACUGAACAUUGAGCCUUGAUGUGUAGGAUAGGUGGGAGGCUUUGAAGUGUGGACGCCAGUCUGCAUGGAGCCGACCUUGAAAUACCACCCUUUAAUG